AACAUCGCCUCUUGAACCCUUAUAAGAGGUCCAGCCUGCCCAGUGACUCUGUUCAACGGCCGCGGUAUCCUAACCGUGCGAAGGUAGCGUAAUCACUUGUUCUUUAAAUGUGGACUAGUAUGAAUGGCAUCACGAAGGUUAUACUGUCUCCUUUUUCUAAUCAGUGAAACUAAUCUCCCCGUGAAGAAGCGAGGAUAAAACUAUAAGACGAGAAGACCCUAUGGAGCUUUAAACAUUUAUAACACUUGCUAAAUAAAAUACAAAUUUCAGAAUUAUUUACUCUUUAAGCAACUUGUCUAUAAGUUUUUGGUUGGGGUGACCGCGGAGCAUAAUACAACCUCCAUGUUGAAAGAUCUAUUUCUAAGCUAAGAGCUACACCUCUAAGCAUCAACAUAUUGACAUCCAUUGACCCAAUAUAUUUGAACAACGAACCAAGUUACCCUAGGGAUAACAGCGCAAUCCACUUCAAGAGCUCCUAUCGACAAGUGGGUUUACGACCUCGAUGUUGGAUCAGGGUUUCCCAGUGGUGCAGCCGCUACUAAAGGUUCGUUUGUUCAACGAUUAAAACCCUAC
rnacentral:rRNA from 1 species